CCGGGACCAUCCGGUAAGGCUAAAUACUCCCGAGAGACCGAUAGCGAACCAGUACCGUGAGGGAAAGGUGAAAAGCACUUCGAACAGAAGAGUGAAAUAGUUCCUGAAACCGUGCGCCUACAAGCGGUCGGAGCUCGUUAAUGAGUGACGGCGUGCCUUUUGCAUAAUGAACCUACGAGUUGCCUUUGCCGGCAAGGUUAAGUGUGACGACACACGUAUCCGAAGCGAAAGCGAGUCUGAACAGGGCGUAUAGUCGGCAGUGGCAGACGCGAAACCAAGUGAUCUACCCUUGGCCAGGUUGAAGGCUGGGUAACACCAGCUGGAGGACCGCACCAAUAAGCGUUGAAAAGCUUCUGGAUGAGCUGAGGGUAGGGGUGAAAGGCUAAUCAAACUUGGAGAUAGCUCGUACUCCCCGAAAUGCAUUUAGGUGCAGCCUUGCGGGUUACUGAUGUGAGGUAGAGCGACUGAUAAGAUGCGAGGGCUUCACCGCCUAUCAAGUCUUGACAAACUCCGAAUGCGCAUCAGUUCUACCGCAGGAGUGAGGGCAUGGGUGCUAAGGUCCGUGCCCGAGAGGAGAAGAAUCCGGACCACCUGCUAAGGUCCCGAAAUGACAGCUAAGUUAAACUAACGAAGUCUGACUGCUAAGACAGCUAGGAUGUUGGCUUGGAAGCAGCCAUUCAUUUAAAGAGUGCGUAACAGCUCACUAGUCGAGGAGUCGGGCGUGGAUAAUAAUCGGGUAUCAAGUUGUCUACCGAAGCAGUGGGAUCAUUAAUAUGAUCGGUAGGGGAGCAUUCCAGUCAGCGUCGAAGGCGUACCGUGAGGUAUUCUGGAGCGUCUGGAAAAGCAAAUGUAGGUAUAAGUAACGAUAAAGGGGGCGGGAAACCCCCUCGCCGAAAGACUAAGGUUUCCUGAUCAACGCUAAUCGGAUCAGGGUCAGUCGGGUCCUAAGGCUCAGCCGAACGGCGAUGCCGAUGGCAGAAACGGUUAAUAUUCCGUUACUACCUUCAGGAGUGACGUGGAGACGCAGUAGUGACAGUGCCGCCAUCUGACGGAAUAGAUGGUUGAAGGGUGUAGGAGUCGAUCAUGGCAGGCAAAUCCACCAUGAGAUCCGAACCUGACAGUAUGCCGCGUCCUUCGGGACAAGGCAAUAGUGCGCGUAAGCAUGCUGCCGAGAAAAUCCGCUAAACUUAAUCCUGCAGGUACCCGUACCGCAAACGGACACACGUAGUCGGGAUGAAUAUUCUAAGGCGCUUGAGUGAUUCACGGUUAAGGAACUAGGCAAACUGACCCUGUAACUUCGGGAUAAAGGGUCCCUACCCUUUUAUGGGAGGGCGCAGAGAAUCGGUCCAGGCAACUGUUUAACAAAAACACAGGGCUGUGCCAAAUCGAAAGAUCCAGUAUACAGCCUGACACCUGCCCGGUGCUGGAAGGUUAAGAGGAGAUGUCAUCGAUAAGAGAAGCGUUGAAUUGAAGCCCCAGUAAACGGCGGCCGUAACUAUAACGGUCCUAAGGUAGCGAAAUUCCUUGUCGGGUAAGUUCCGACCUGCACGAAUGGUGUAAUGAUCCGGACGCUGUCUCAACCAUGAGCUCAGUGAAAUUGUAGUAUCGGUGAAGAUGCCGAUUACCCGCGAUGGGACGAAAAGACCCCGUGAACCUUUACUAUAGCUUAUCAUUGAAUCUGGGCACGUGAUGUGUAGGAUAGGUCGGAGGCUUUGAAGCAGGUACGCCAGUAUUUGUGGAGCCGCUGUUGAAAUACGACCCUUUAUUUGUUUGGAUUCUAACCCGUGGAACGGGGACAUUGAUUGGUGGGUAGUUUGACUGGGGUGGUCGCCUCCAAAAGCGUAACGGAGGCUUCUAAAGGUGCCCUCAGACCGAUUGGUAACCGGUCGCAGAGUGUAAUGGCAUAAGGGCGCUUGACUGGGAGACAUACAAGUCGAUCAGGUAGGAAACUAGAGCAUAGUGAUCCGGUGGUUCCGCAUGGAAGGGCCAUCGCUCAAAGGAUAAAAGGUACUCCGGGGAUAACAGGCUGAUCCCUCCCAAGAGCUCAUAUCGACGGAGUGGUUUGGCACCUCGAUGUCGGCUCGUCACAUCCUGGGGCUGGAGAAGGUCCCAAGGGUUGGGCUGUUCGCCCAUUAAAGUGGCACGCGAGCUGGGUUCAGAACGUCGUGAGACAGUUCGGUCUCUAUCUGUUGUGGGCGCAGGAAAUUUGCGGAGAUCCGACACUAGUACGAGAGGACCGUGUUGGACAGACCCCUGGUGCAUCGGUUGUUCCGCCAGGAGCACAGCCGAGUAGCUAAGUCUGGAAGGGAUAAGCGCUGAAAGCAUCUAAGUGCGAAGCCCACUCCAAGAUAAGAUUUCCGUAUAGGGACGUCAAAGACGAUGACGUGGAUAGGCCGCAGGUGUACAGGCAGCAAUGUCACAGCCGAGCGGUACUAAUAGCCCGAAACUUUCGGAA
rnacentral:rRNA from 1 species